AGAGCGGAGGGAUGGAGGGAGGAAGGCAGGAGGGAGAGAGAGAUGGCAUGUUUCACCUCUUAUUGUACUACUGUUGCCAAGUGAUAUAGAGAAGGAUGGAGGGAGGGUGGAGGGAGGGACGGUGUAGGGAGGGAGGGAGGAGGGAGGGAGGGAGAAAGGGAGAGAGAGAUGGCAUGUUUGACCUCUCAUUAUACUACUGUUGCCAAGUGAUAUAGAGAAGGAUGGAGGGAGGGAGGGGGACGGAAGGAUGAGAGACAGGAUGGACAUAGGACAGCUGCAGAAGUAGGGAGGGGGGUGAGGGAGGUAACAGUUGAGGGGAGGUAGAGAUGGAGGAGAGCAGGGUGGAGAAAAAUUUAAGGAGAUGAAGGAAAAUAAAGAAGAAGAAGAGGUUGUGGGACCAGACAGUGUGACGUUAAUAGAUUGAGAGAGGGGGGGGAGAGAGGGGUAGAGAGAGAAAGAGAGAGAGAGAGAGAGAGAGAGAGAGAGAGAGAGAGGGAAGGAGGGAGGGAGGGAGGGAGGGAGGGAGGGAGGGAGGGAGGGAAAGAGAGGGGUAGAGAGAGCAAGAGAGAACCAGAGAGAGAGAGAGAGGAGAGGAAAAGGGAGAGGGAAAGAGAGGAGUAGAGAGAGAGAGAGAAAGAAAGGGAGAGGGAGAGAGAGAGAGGGGGGUGUAUAUUGAAUAACAGGAGGACAGUGAUGUACCUUUAUCCUCAAGCUGUCAGGGAGAUAAUAACGCAUUCACAGGGUCAGACGCAGCAUUCUGGUCAAACCACAAUGUGUGCGCUUGUUUGGGUCCGUGCAUGCUUGUCUGUGUGUGUAACAGAGAAGCCUCAGCAGUCCAGAUUUCUACGUUCCCUGUGUAGACUCUCUCACCAACGCUCUGACUAUUAGUUACACAAUCACACGUCUCAAAUGGAACACUUUCCCCUUUAAAGUGUACAACUUUUGCCCAGGGCCCCUAGAGAGACCCAUAGGGAGACCCAUAGAGAGACACAUAGGGAGACCCAGAGAGAGACCCAUAGAGAGACCCAGAGAGAGACCCAGAGAGAGACCCAGAGAGAGACCCAUAGAGAGAGACCCAGAGAGAGACCCAUAGAGAGACCCAUAGAGAGACCCAUAGGGAGACCCAGAGAGAGACCCAUAGAGAGACCCAUAGAGAGACCCAGAGAGAGACCCAUAGGGAGACCCAGAGAGAGACCCAGAGAGAGACCCAGAGAGAGACCCAUAGAGAGAGACCCAGAGAGAGACCCAUAGAGAGACCCAUAGAGAGACCCAUAGAGAGAGACCCAGAGAGAGACCCAUAGAGAGACCCAUAGAGAGACCCAUAGAGAGACCCAUAGAGAGAGACCCAUAGAGAGAGACCCAUAGAGAGACCCAGAGAGAGACCCAUAGGGGGUAUAAUAUCUCAGUUGAUGUUGCUUCUUGUCUGCAGCUCUCCGUUGAAUGUUACUGAGGUUUGAUUUGGUUAUUAUCUGUAUUCCUAUUGCAGCUCCGUAUCUGUUGAAUGUUCCUGUGGUUUCAUAUAUUUUUUAUAUUAAUUGUAUUGCUACCCCAGGGGGUAUCUAAAUGCGGGUUUAGGAUUUGUUGUGCUUGCUUCCUUUGACGUAGUUAGUUAGCCUAGUUGGUCCCUGGAAAAUAAGUCUUAUUCCAAUGUUAUGAAUUGGUUAUUCACUUGAAAUCAAUACAAUACGUGAUAUUGAUAUGUUUGUUUGAAUCAGGUUUAAUACAGUGGACCGUUAAAAUAUACCGCAGUGGAAUGUUGAUUAGAUAGAGGACCAACCGAUUCAGAAAUAACACAUGUUGAUACAGAAACAUAAAAGAUAGAAUGAAACCAACCCCUAAUAUUACUAAGAAUCUGUAUAAUUACAUUUAUGAAUUUAUAUUAAUUCUAAUCUGUGUCAGGGGAACCACUUGUGCUCAGUUGUCCAAUGUAAGAUUAUUCUGCUCUUGACAUGAUGUGAAUGUGUGGCUUUCUUAGAACAAAGAACAAUGUCAUUAUUUUUAUUAUAUAGAAUAAAAACACUUUGAUGUUGAAAUUAUUGGGAUUGGUGGAUUUUUUUUGUUGCAUCGCAGUGAAUCGGAAGGACACUAGUGCACAGACACACACACACACACACACACACACACACACACACACACACACACACACACACACACACACACACACACACACACGACCCCAAAGAAUAUGAGUCACUGUCUGGUGAUGAUGUCACAGUAACACAGUGAUGU
rnacentral:lncRNA from 8 species